GCUUGUCUCAAAGAUUAAGCCAUGCAUGUCUAAGUAUAAAUAAAUCAUACUGUGAAACUGCGAAUGGCUCAUUAUAUCAGUUAUAGUUUAUUUGAUAGUCCCUUACUACUUGGAUAACCGUAGUAACUCUAGAGCUAAUACAUGCGCAAAUUCCCGACUGCCGCAAGGCGGAAAGGAUGUAUUUAUUAGAUCCAACCAGCCCGGUUCGCCGGAGUCCCUGGUGAGUCAUAAUAACUGCUCGAAUCGCAUGGCUUCACGCCGGCGAUGGUUCAUUCAAAUUUCUGCCCUAUCAGCUUUCGAUGGUAGGAUCGAGGCCUACCAUGGCGUUUACGGGUAACGGAGAAUUAGGGUUCGAUUCCGGAGAGGGAGCCUGAGAGAUGGCUACCACAUCCAAGGAAGGCAGCAGG
rnacentral:rRNA from 1 species